CAAAAUGUAGUUUAACUAAAACAUUUCGUUUACACCAAAAAUAAUCUUGUUUAAACCAAGACAUUUUGA
rnacentral:tRNA from 1 species